UACGUAGGGGGCUAGCGUUGUCCGGAAUUAUUGGGCGUAAAGAGCUCGUAGGCGGUUUGUCGCGUCUGCUGUGAAAACUCGGGGCUUAACUCCGGGCCUGCAGUGGGUACGGGCAGACUAGAGUGCGGUAGGGGAGACUGGAAUUCCUGGUGUAGCGGUGAAAUGCGCAGAUAUCAGGAGGAACACCGGUAGCGAAAGCGGCUCACUGGGUCUUUUCUGACGCUGAGGCACGAAAGCUAGGGUAGCGAACGGG
rnacentral:rRNA from 1 species